rnacentral:rRNA from 1 species
GAGUAACACGUGGACAACCUGCCUCAAGGCUGGGGAUAACAUUUGGAAACAGAUGCUAAUACCGAAUAAAACUUAGUGUCGCAUGACAAAAAGUUAAAAGGCGCUUCGGCGUCACCUAGAGAUGGAUCCGCGGUGCAUUAGUUAGUUGGUGGGGUAAAGGCCUACCAAGACAAUGAUGCAUAGCCGAGUUGAGAGACUGAUCGGCCACAUUGGGACUGAGACACGGCCCAAACUCCUACGGGAGGCUGCAGUAGGGAAUCUUCCACAAUGGGCGAAAGCCUGAUGGAGCAACGCCGCGUGUGUGAUGAAGGCUUUCGGGUCGUAAAGCACUGUUGUAUGGGAAGAACAGCUAGAAUAGGAAAUGAUUUUAGUUUGACGGUACCAUACCAGAAAGGGACGGCUAAAUACGUGCCAGCAGCCGCGGUAAUACGUAUGUCCCGAGCGUUAUCCGGAUUUAUUGGGCGUAAAGCGAGCGCAGACGGUUUAUUAAGUCUGAUGUGAAAGCCCGGAGCUCAACUCCGGAAUGGCAUUGGAAACUGGUUAACUUGAGUGCAGUAGAGGUAAGUGGAACUCCAUGUGUAGCGGUGGAAUGCGUAGAUAUAUGGAAGAACACCAGUGGCGAAGGCGGCUUACUGGACUGCAACUGACGUUGAGGCUCGAAAGUGUGGGUAGCAAACAGGAUUAGAUACCCUGGUAGUCCACACCGUAAACGAUGAACACUAGGUGUUAGGAGGUUUCCGCCUCUUAGUGCCGAAGCUAACGCAUUAAGUGUU